CAGGUUUGAUCCUGGCUCAGGAUGAACGCUAGCGACAGGCUUAACACAUGCAAGUCGAGGGGCAGCAUGAUUUGUAGCAAUACAGAUUGAUGGCGACCGGCGCACGGGUGAGUAACGCGUAUGCAACUUACCUAUCAGAGGGGGAUAGCCCGGCGAAAGUCGGAUUAAUACCCCAUAAAACAGGGGUCCCGCAUGGGAAUAUUUGUUAAAGAUUCAUCGCUGAUAGAUAGGCAUGCGUU
rnacentral:rRNA from 1 species